ACAAAGACUAAACAGUAGUGGCACCAGUAGUGUAAGGUGUUGGGAGGGUUAAUUCAAGCAUGAGUACAGGGCUCAUACUUGACCCUUCAGUCACUUAACUGUUAGUGGCCCUUUAUUUGUUUCAGGGAAAGUUGGAAUCCUUUCAGAUUUAAUAAAGUUUGAUAUUAAAAUAUCUGCUUUUCACUUCUUAAAGCAGCUCUAACAACCCUUUCGAACUGUGAAAAAUUGCCAUUGUAGAAAAGUGGACUGAAAUCAUGAUGUAUUUUUUUCCUCUCUUUUAAACCCAGACCUCUGGCGCUGCCAGUUCCUCUUACCGUUUGUUAGCUUGGGUCUG
rnacentral:lncRNA from 1 species